rnacentral:sRNA from 1 species
AAAAAAGAAGAAAAAAA